UUUGUUUGAAGUGAUGUACUAAAAGUUAUAAUGGUACUUCUGAUCUGAAGAGGGUAAUGUAGACAUUUAACACUUGAUCAUAUCUUUCUUUCUAUAUAAUAAGUAGAUAACUGAAGACCUACAAACAUAAUUAGUUAGUUGACUUCACUCAUCGAAGUUGAGAUGAAAAUGAGAGAAAUAAUGCAAUAUUGGAGUGAGUGUAUAAAGUAGUGGAAAGCUAAGAAUAUUGAAUCUCGACCAGCCGAGUAGAAAUAUCAAAUAUAUAUCUCUUAUCUCUGUAGUUGGUUUCAGUCUCAGUCUCAGCUCCUAAUAUUUAUUUAUUGCUGAGUUAAUUUAUAAUUUCUGCUCGACUGCUUGAGAUUCAAUCUUCUAUGCAAAUCACUCAUUAUAUAGUGUACCUGAAUGCUUUUACAUAUGUGAUAUAUGUCACUCUCUUCAAAGAAAGUGGCACCACAAGCAAGAGCCUCACUAGGUAUGCCCCUAACAAAACGACCUUCAAUAUCAAAAAUCACUCCCAUACCCAUAUGCAAAUGAGGCUCAAUAUGGCAAUGGAAAGCCCAAACUCCACGAUUGUCCGCCACAAAUCGAAGGGCAGUCCAUCCGUAAGGGAAAAUCACAGCCGUGUUUCUUAAAGGCGGGUUCUUUAGGUUAAGCUUUUUCUCAUCAUUCUUCGAAAACUUACCUUCUCCGUAACCCAAAACCCAAAAGUCAUGGCCGUGCAAGUGCCACGGGUGAAUUUCGCUAACAUUGGCUUUUAUAGCAUUCGUGUUUUGGAGUAUAACAUCCACUGUUGAUUUGAAUUUGAGCCUGUAGACCCCACUGCUAGUUGUUGUGUUGGUGUUGACAGGUGGCUUCAUGAUGUCAUAAUUGGCAGGGUAGCUUUCUGGUGGGCUCCUCUGAUCAAAUGUAUGGUUCAGUAAAAAUUUGACUGAGCCCAAAUAUGGGGUGGCUGGUAGUACUAAAGAGACAUUGUUUAUGGCCCACUUCGUGUGACCGUUGAUCAUGUUUUGUGUGUUGAGGAGGAUCAUCCUACGGUUGUAAAAUCUUGGAGGUUUUGGGGAUCCCAUUCGGGCCAACACGCUUUUUGAAAAGGUUUUACUGUGGUUAUAAUCAUCCCAUCUUGGUGUUACUGGUGGAGGUGAAACGGGGAGUUUUGAUGCUGAAUUUGGGAGGUAAUUUAAGAGGGUUAGACCUUGUGGGGUCUUUGGUUCUCUCCCUCUAACUCCAACUGAGACCCAGUAAUUGUUUUUAGGGUUUUGAUUUGUGGUUAUUAGGACUGAGUAACUUUCCCCUGAAUAAAUGUCCAAAUCAUCCACUAAGAAUGGUUGCACAUAGUUUCCAUCUGCUUCCACUACCAACAUUUUGUGAUUCUGAAAAAGUAUAUAUAAAAAAAUGAAAUAAUUAUUUCGUGUAUAUACUAUAAAUAAUAAGACAUCACUAGCUACAAUAUUGCCAAGCCA